GACGAACGCUGGCGGCGUGCUUAACACAUGCAAGUCGAACGGAAAGGCCCUGCUUUUGUGGGGUGCUCGAGUGGCGAACGGGUGAGUAACACGUGAGUAACCUGCCCUUGACUUUGGGAUAACUUCAGGAAACUGGGGCUAAUACCGGAUAGGAGCUCCUGCUGCAUGGUGGGGGUUGGAAAGUUUCGGCGGUUGGGGAUGGACUCGCGGCUUAUCAGCUUGUUGGUGGGGUAGUGGCUUACCAAGGCUUUGACGGGUAGCCGGCCUGAGAGGGUGACCGGCCACAUUGGGACUGAGAUACGGCCCAGACUCCUACGGGAGGCAGCAGUGGGGAAUAUUGCACAAUGGGCGGAAGCCUGAUGCAGCAACGCCGCGUGCGGGAUGACGGCCUUCGGGUUGUAAACCGCUUUCGCCUGUGACGAAGCGUGAGUGACGGUAAUGGGUAAAGAAGCACCGGCUAACUACGUGCCAGCGGCCGCGGUGAUACGUAGGGUGCGAGCGUUGUCCGGAUUUAUUGGGCGUAAAGGGCUCGUAGGUGGUUGAUCGCGUCGGAAGUGUAAUCUUGGGGCUUAACCCUGAGCGUGCUUUCGAUACGGGUUGACUUGAGGAAGGUAGGGGAGAAUGGAAUUCCUGGUGGAGCGGUGGAAUGCGCAGAGAUCAGGAGGAACACCAGUGGCGAAGGCGGUUCUCUGGGCCUUUCCUGACGCUGAGGAGCGAAAGCGUGGGGAGCGAACAGGCUUAGAUACCCUGGUAGUCCACGCUGUAAACGGUGGGUACUAGGUGUGGGGUCCAUUCCACGGGUUCCGUGCCGUAGCUAACGCUUUAAGUACCCCGCCUGGGGAGUACGGCCGCAAGGCUAAAACUCAAAGGAAUUGACGGGGCCCCGCACAAGCGGCGGAGCAUGCGGAUUAAUUCGAUGCAACGCGUAGAACCUUACCUGGGUUUGACAUGGAUCGGGAGUGCUCAGAGAUGGGUGUGCCUCUUUUGGGGUCGGUUCACAGGUGGUGCAUGGCUGUCGUCAGCUCGUGUCGUGAGAUGUUGGGUUAAGUCCCGCAACGAGCGCAACCCUUGUUCACUGUUGCCAGCACGUUAUGGUGGGGACUCAGUGGAGACCGCCGGGGUCAACUCGGAGGAAGGUGGGGAUGACGUCAAGUCAUCAUGCCCCUUAUGUCCAGGGCUUCACGCAUGCUACAAUGGCUGGUACAGAGAGUGGCGAGCCUGUGAGGGUGAGCGAAUCUCGGAAAGCCGGUCUCAGUUCGGAUUGGGGUCUGCAACUCGACCUCAUGAAGUCGGAGUCGCUAGUAAUCGCAGAUCAGCAACGCUGCGGUGAAUACGUUCCCGGG
rnacentral:rRNA from 1 species